GACGAACGCUGGCGGCGUGCUUAACACAUGCAAGUCGAACGGAAAGGCCCUGCUUUUGUGGGAUGCUCGAGUGGCGAACGGGUGAGUAACACGUGAGUAACCUGCCCUUGACUUUGGGAUAACGUCAGGAAACUGGGGCUAAUACCGGAUAGGAGCUCCUGCUGCAUGGUGGGGGUUGGAAAGUUUCGGCGGUUGGGGAUGGACUCGCGGCUUAUCAGCUUGUUGGUGGGGUAGUGGCUUACCAAGGCUUUGACGGGUAGCCGGCCUGAGAGGGUGACCGGCGACAUUGGGACUGAGAUACGGCCCAGACUCCUACGGGAGGCAGCAGUGGGGAAUAUGGCACAAUGGGCGGAAGCCUGAGGCAGCAACGCCGCGUGCGGGAUGAGGGCCUUCGGGUUGUAAACCGCUUUCGCCUGUGACGAAGCGUGAGUGACGGUAAUGGGUAAAGAAGCACCGGCUAACUACGUG
rnacentral:rRNA from 1 species